CCGGCCGUCGGGGCAAGA
rnacentral:snRNA from 1 species